rnacentral:rRNA from 1 species
CAGUCGCCACGGGAAUACGUAGGGUGCGAGCGUUAAUCGGAAUUACUGGGCGUAAAGCGUGCGCAGGCGGUUCGUUAAGACAGAUGUGAAAUCCCCGGGCUUAACCUGGGAACUGCAUUUGUGACUGACGGGCUAGAGUAUGGCAGAGGGUGGUAGAAUUCCACGUGUAGCAGUGAAAUGCGUAGAGAUGGGGAGGAAUACCGAUGGCGAAGGCAGCCACCUGGGCCAAUACUGACGCUCAUGCACGAAAGCGUGGGGAGCAAACAGGAUUAGAUACCCCCGUAGUCCCUGUCUCUUAUAA